CGUUGCCAUGGUUACCAUUGUCAUCUAUCAUCCGUUGCCACGGUUACUGUGCUCCCCACGUGACUGUUGCCAUUGUCAUCCGUUGCCAUGGUUACCAUGGUGGUUUCCCCCCCAUUAUUGCAUUGCUUUGGUUACUGUGGUCCCCACAUUCCCGUUGCCAUGGUUACCGUUGUCAUCUAUCAUCUGUUGCCAUGGUUACCAUGGGCCCAAGUGUCCCCCAUUUCCAUGGUUACCAUUGUCACUCAUCGCCCGUUGCCAUGGUUACCAUGCUGGUCCCCUCCCCCCCCAACCCUGUUGUCUUGGUUAUUUGGGGUAUCUGUUGCCAUGGUUACCAUGGUCCUCCCCCACUACCCAUUACCAUGGCUGCUCUGAGCUCUGUCAACUGUUGCCAUGGUUACCCCAUCACAAGCCCGUUGCCAUGGUUACCAAAUGCACAGCACCCCUUGCCAUGGUUACCCCAUCACACAUAUGUUGCCAUGGUUACUGUUGUCCUCCGUCACACGUUGCCAUGGUUACCAUGGUCCCAUUUCCAUGGUUGUCAUGGUCCCCACGUGCCUGUUGCCAUGGUUACCCCAUCACACACCUGUCGCCAUGGUUACCAAGGGCACACCACCCAUUACCAUGCAUACACUGAUACUCACCUGUUGCCAUGGACACCACAGUCACCCAUCAACUGUUGCCAUGGUUACCCCAUCACAUGCCUGUUGCCAAGGUUCCCAUAGUCCUCCAUCACAUGUUGCCAUGGUUACCAUGGUCCUGUUUCCACGCUGCCAUGGUUACUGUGGUCCCCACGUGCCCGUUGCCAUAGUUACCCCGUCGCACACCCGUUGCCAUGGUUACCAAGUACACAACCCCUGUUGCCAUGUUUACACUGGUGCUCAGCCAUUGCCAUGGUUACAGUGUUCCGUCCGUUGCCAUGGUUACCCUGAUUCUGUGUUACCAUGGUUACCACAGUCACGUGUCACCCGUUGCUAUGGUAACUGUGGUCCCCAUACAUCCGUUGUCUUGGUUACUGGGGAAAUUGUUGCCAUGGUUGUUACCCCAUCACACAGCCGUUGCCAUGGUUACCCCAUCACACAGCCGUUGCCAUGGUUACCCAUCACACAGCCGUUACCAUGGUUGCCAUGGUCCCAACCAGCUGUUGCCAUGGUUACAUUGGCCACUAUUUCCACGUUGCUAUGGUUACCAUGGAAUGCACAUUCACAUUGCCAUGGUUACCUCAUCACAUGCCUGUUGGCAUGGUUACUGCGAUCCUCCAUCACUCAUUGCCGUGGUUACCAUGGUACCCAGGAAGCCGUUGCCAUGGUUACCAUGGUUCAGCACAUCCCUGUCAUCUUGGUUAUUGUGGUCCUGCCUGUUGCCAUGGUUACCUCACCGCACACACGGUGCCAUGGUUACUGCACCCCCCAUCACUUGUUGCCAUGGUUACCAUGGUUCAGCACAUCCCUGUUGUCAUGGUUGUUGUGGUCCUGCCUGUUACCAUGGUUACCAUAUCCAUCACUCCUGUGUUGUCAUGCUUACCCCAUCCCAGGCCUGUUGCCAUGGUUACCCUGGUCCAGCCCGUCCCUGUUGCCAUGGUUACCGUGGAUAACUGUUACCUGUUCCCAUGGUAACAGUGACCCAUCGCCCCCCUGUUGCCAUGGUUACUGUGACCGUACCUGUUCCCAUGGUAACAGUGACCCAUCGGCCCCCUGUUGCCAUGGUUACCGUGACCCCUGUGGUCUCCAUGCUCGGGAACCGCGAUGCCUCACUGCCCAUCACCAUGGCAACUGCGGCCCUGUGGUACCUGUUACCAUGGUAACCGGGUAACCUGGGGCCUACUUCACUUGUUUCNNN
ensembl:lncRNA